rnacentral:lncRNA from 1 species
GAUCGGGGUUCUGUAGAGAAUUGAGACAAUUUGGGGUAUGUUGGGGAGAGAAGAAGGAGAUGUUUUUUUUUGAGAAAUAGAAGAAGGAGAUGUUGAGAGAGGGAGAAAGGGAAGAGGAGAGUAGCGAUUAAAAGAAGAGAAAAAAAAUUGGAGAAGAUGAGAGGAGGAAGAAGAAGGAUAAUUGAGGAGAAAGAAAAUUAUUAAUUAAUUUUAUUGAUG